GACGAACGCUGGCGGCGUGCCUAACACAUGCAAGUCGAGCGGAGUCGAUCGACGGAAGCCUUCGGGCGGAAGAUGGUUGACUUAGCGGCGGAUGGGUGAGUAACGCGUGGGAAACCUGCCCUAUACAGGGGGAUAGCCUCGGGAAACUGGGAUUAAUACCCCAUAAAACUCUAGUAUCGCAUGAUACAUGAGCCAAAGAUUUAUCGGUAUAGGAUGGUCCCGCGUCUGAUUAGCUAGUUGGUGAGGUAACGGCCUACCAAGGCGACGAUCGGUAGCUGGUCUGAGAGGAUGAUCAGCCACACUGGGACUGAGACACGGCCCAGACUCCUACGGGAGGCAGCAGUGGGGAAUUUUGGACAAUGGGCGAAAGCCUGAUCCAGCCAUGCCGCGUGCGGGAAGAAGGCCUUCGGUGUAACCGCUUAGUCCGGGAAAAGGGUGGCGAGGAUAAUACCCUCGUGCUUGAUGGUACUGGAAGAAUAAGACACCGGCUAACUACGUGCCACG
rnacentral:rRNA from 1 species